UGGGGAAUAUUGCACAAUGGGCGCAAGCCUGAUGCAGCCAUGCCGCGUGUAUGAAGAAGGCCUUCGGGUUGUAAAGUACUUUCAGCGAGGAGGAAGGCAUUAAGGUUAAUAACCUUAAUGAUUGACGUUACUCGCAGAAGAAGCACCGGCUAACUCCGUG
rnacentral:rRNA from 1 species